rnacentral:lncRNA from 1 species
UUGUCUUCUUUUUCUUCUUCUCUCUCACGUUUCUUCAAAACCUCCAUGGAAGCUUGAUAUGUAGCUUGCAAAAUUUUCUCUCUCUAGCUCUAGUUUUCAUAUUUUUGAGCCCUUUUGACUAGAACCCUAGUAUUCUUUCACUCUCUCACUUCAAAACCCUUGGUAAAGCUUAUUUCCAUACUUUCUCUCACUAGUUGGGCAUUUUAGAGAGAGAAAAAGAGAAUUACCCCAUUGAUUUGAAAGCAAUUAGAAGAGAAUUUGACUACAAAGGAGCCCUAGGGUAAGUGAUGAAUUAAGCUUGGUUUUUAGCUGUGAAUAAUGGCUGGUAAUUGGGAGUAUGAGCUGUUUUAUUGUUGAGUAUGUUCAUUACUUUUUAGUGAUUAAGAUAGUGAACAUAGAUAGCCAUUUAAUGUGGCAAUUGAAAGUUAGUUAAGAGAUAGCUUUUAGGGUUCAUAGUGUGUGAAUUGACCUAUUGCUUAUGCUAAUGUGAUCCUAGGUUUUAAGGAAGCCCCAUCAUCUCAUUUGAACAAUUAGGGGAAUUGGAGUCAUCUAAAGGCUCUACAAUCAAUCGGUGAGUGGACUGCCUAUCAAAAUUGUUUUGGGAAUAUGAUUAUUUUGUACAAAGUGUUUGAAUAAUUUUAUACAACUUUUAUCAAAAAUGAAUGCCUUAGGAACAAGCUCUUGAGAAAUGGUUUAUGUUAUGAUAUGUGGUUAUUAUGGAUUUUUAUGUGGCUGCAUUAUGUUGAUAUACAUAUAUGUUUGAAUAUAGUGUUGUGUAAUUAUAUUGACUCAGCUAUAUGCGAGUAGGGAGUGCGCAUAAGCCGAGGAUGACCCUGUUAUGUGCGAGUAGAGAGUGCGCAUAACCCGGUGAUGACCCAGCCAUGUGCGAGUAGGGAGUACGCAUGAGCUGGUGAUGAUGAUGAUGGGAUGGUGUGAUGAUGAUGAUGGGUAUAUACGUAUACAUAUAUACAUAUGUAAAUAUGUGUGUUAUAUGAAAUUAAUGGAUAAUGGUUUAUGGUUGUAAUGCAUGAGAAACUUGACAUGUUAAACCUUGGGAAAUUGUUAUGUGUUUCAUGUCGGUUUGGACAUUUCAGCAUGGUGGUUUUUCCUUUGGAAGAAGGGCAAAUUUUGCAUUGGUGCCCUGUUUCUUGUGCAGCGAAAAUCAUUCUCGCUGUAGCGAGAAACUCUCGGGUUUUGGAGGGGUAGGCUGGCCGAAAACUCGCUGCAGCGAGGAUGCAUUUUCGCUGCAGCGAAAUUCAUUCUUGCUGCAGUGAGAAACUUUUUGUUUUAGGGUUACAAUUUCACUACAACGAGAUUCAGCGAGAAACAUUCUGUUUCUGGGUCACAAUUUCACUGCAGCAAGAUUGAAUCUCGCUGUAGCGAAAAACCUUCUGUUUUUGUCUCCUAUCUUGUCCAACUGCUGCCCUAUUUUUCACUUCUUUGCUACCAUAUUGGAGCAUGGACUUCCAACAUUAAGGACUAAAUGAGUUAAGUUUAAAAUGAAGAGGUUUAGUGAGAAAUCCUAGGCCAGUUGAGAAAUCCUCGUUUGGCUAAUAACUUAAUCCCAACGUCACUGCAACGAAAAUUCAUUCUCGCUGCAGCUACGCUGCAGCGAGAAUGCCUUUUCACUGUAGCGAAGAUUCGUCAUCGUAUUUGACUUGCUUGCGUAUUAUUAAAGCUUUCAUUCUUCAAAUGGUUCGUUAUGUAUGGGUUCAUGAUUUUCAAAUGAUUAAUCAUUUAAGGGCUUGAUGAGGGGUUUUUAAUAAGAACAAAAACAAAAUUGCAUUGUUUUGAAAAAGAAUGCAUCAUGAUUUCGUUAAAGAUUCCUUAUGGUAUGCUUGUUCCCUUCCUUGUUCACUCAAUGGGUUUAUACUCACUGUUUUUAACUUCAUGUUUUCAGAUCACGAGGCAGCUGAUAAUUAGGAUGAGGUGUUCUUGUAGACUUGUAACCAUCUUUUGGUAGGUGUCUCGGCAUUCAGUAGCUGUACAUUCGUUCGAGUCCUUCCGUUGGAAGUCGAGUAUUAUUUUGUUGUGUAUAGACAAACCUAAUGUAAAUUAUCAAGAUACAUGUUGUAGGCAAUGUACACUUAAUUGGUAUGCCAGUAUGAGUUGGCAAAUGUUUAAUUUUAUUUUGAUUCUAAGUUAUGAAAUAUGACUUCGUAGUUAUGAUGGAAUGAUGAACACGUUAGAUUAAUA